GACGAACGCUGGCGGCGUGCCUAAUACAUGCAAGUUGAGCGAUGAAGAUUGGUGCUUGCACCAAUUUGAAGAGCAGCGAACGGGUGAGUAACGCGUGGGGAAUCUGCCUUUGAGCGGGGGACAACAUUUGGAAACGAAUGCUAAUACCGCAUAACAACUUUAAACAUAAGUUUUAAGUUUGAAAGAUGCAAUUGCAUCACUCAAAGAUGAUCCCGCGUUGUAUUAGCUAGUUGGUGAGGUAAAGGCUCACCAAGGCGAUGAUACAUAGCCGACCUGAGAGGGUGAUCGGCCACAUUGGGACUGAGACACGGCCCAAAAUCCUACGGGAGGCAGCAGUAGGGAAUCUUCGGCAAUGGACGAAAGUCUGACCGAGCAACGCCGCGUGAGUGAAGAAGGUUUUCGGAUCGUAAAACUCUGUUGGUAGAGAAGAACGUUGGUGAGAGUGGAAAGCUCAUCAAGUGACGGUAACUACCCAGAAAGGGACGGCUAACUACGUG
rnacentral:rRNA from 1 species